UUUCUGUAAGCAUGUUCUAUAUGAUCUAUUUUGGAGAACAUCCAAUGAGAAGUUGAGAAGAAUGUGUAUUCUAAUGUUGUUGGGUGGAACGCUCUGUAGACAUCUACUAAGUCCAUUUGUUCACAAGUUUGGUUCAGUUCUGAUAUUUCUUUGUUUAUUUUUUUCUAGUUGAUAUAUUUGUGACAGUGGAGUACUAAGGUUCAACAUUACAAUUGUGCUUAUGCUUAUUUGAUUUUUCAAGUCCAUGUUUUAUAUAAUUGGGCAUAAACAUAUUUGGUACAUAUAUAUUUAUGAUUAUUACUUCUUUUCUUGCAGUUUUCUCUUAACAAGUAUGUAAAGACCUUCUUUGUCUCUUUAGAUCAGUCUUGGCUUGAAGUUCACAUUGUCUCCACAUAGAAUAGUUUCCCUUGCUUGUUUUCUGAGUUCUUGUUAUGUGGAGUAUUGUUUUCCAUCCUUUGAUUUUCAGUCUAAGAAUUUCUUUUUGAGUUGAAUAUGUUUCUUAUAUGCAGUAUGUUGUUGGAUCUUUUUAUUGAUCCAAUACGAUUGUCUGUGAGGCAGGUAGAACUCCAAUGAGCCAUGACCAAAACAAAUCUAAACUAAGGCAUAUAAUAAUAAAGAUUCCAAAAACUUAGCAAAAGGAGAAUAUUAAAAGCUGUUAGAGAAAAGAAACAAAUCACCUAUAAAGGAAAACCUUCAGAAUCACAGCAGAUUUCUUAACUCAAGCCUUUAUACCAAAGAGAGCUUGGAGCAAAGUAUUUCAAGUCCUGAAAGAAAACAAUCUCCAACCCAGACUGAUGUACCCUACAGAAUUAUCUUUCAAAAUCAAUGGAGAAAUAAGAUACUUCUGUGAGAAAGAACAACUGAAGAAAUUCGUGACCACCAAACCAUCUAUAUAAAAUAUUCUGAAAGAUAGCAUAGAAAGAGAUAACAAAGACUACAAUUCCAAGAAUAUCCAUAGAAAGAAACUACCAAGCAAUUAAACUGGAUAAGCAAGUAAAGACUGUGACACCUUUUUUUUUUUCUUGUGAUACUGGAGAUUGAGCCCAGAACCUUGUGCAUACUAGGCAAGUGCCCUACCACUGAACUACAUCCUCAGCCCUGAUUCUGACAUCUUUUAAACCUGUUUUCUUCUCAUCCAUGCCAUAUAUGUGCAAUCUGAUUAAAAGGCCUAUAUAGUCUUUUCUUUGACACUAGCAGGAAGUUCAAGCCACACAUGAUAACCUUUGUCCAAGGCUUGCUUAGUAGUCACCAUAAAAAGCUCAUAACAUUCUUUCUCUGCUUCAUCAAGAAUUUUUUGGGCCUUGUUGGGAGCCCCUCCACUCUUCCCAGGAAGACUCACUAUGUGAGUAAUAUAUCUUUUCAUACCCCCUUGCAGCAUGGUUGUAUGUAUGCACAUAUCCAAAUUAAGUGUUGAGUCAGGGUCCAUCCUGACUAUAUGUUCACAGUAAUUUUAUUAAGUGUUUAAUGAAUACAAAGGAAUAUUAAUAAGUUUAAAAAUAUAAAAGUAUCCAUUUAAUCUGUUCCUAGUGCUACAAGAAAAUGCUUUGGACUGGAUAAUUUAUAAACAACAGACAUUGAUUUCUCAGUUAUGAAGAUAGGGGAGUUAAAGAUCAUGAUAUCAGCAGGUUUGGAGUCUGAGGAAAGAAGCUGUCUCCUCUCAGGAUGGCAGUUUCUUGCUUUGUCCUUACUUGGUAGCAUGAAAGUUGUGUCCUAAUGUGGCAGAAGAUACAGAAAGGCUAGGUGGCUCUCUGGAGCCUUUAUAAGGGCAUUAAGUCCAUUUAUGAGGAUAGAAUCCUCAUUAGUUCCCAAAAGACCUUACCACUACCUACCACCAUGACGGGAAUUAAGCUUCAACAUGUGAAUCCUGGAGGGACACAAACUUUCAAGUCAUAGCAGCAGCAGCAGCAGCAGCAGCAGCAAUAACAACAACAAGGCUGUAGACUUAUCAACCAGCCUAAGAAACAGAAUGUUACUAAUUUAUUUGACAUGCUUCUCCCUGAUUUUAUGCCCUACCUAAAUUGAUCCUCCACCUCAGCUCAUUAGAACAUUUAGUCUGAAUUUUUAAAUAUUUAUCGUUCCUCUUUUAAAUUUUUAUAUUUUAACCACAGAUGUAAGCUGUACUAAAUUAUAGAUUAUUUUCCUUUGCAUCAUUAUAAUCUUGAUAUAAAUAAAACCACACAGUAUAUGCUAUUUGGAGACUUUCUCUUUUCAACAUUGUCUUUCUAUGUUAUUCAUAUGGAUUCAUGUAGCUACAUGCAUUCUUUUUUCCUUUCCUAUUGUAUGUUCAUUGACUAUAAGUUGUUUACAGAUUUUCUUUCAGUUGACACGUUGGAUCCCCACUCCUGUCUCUUUAUUUUACCUGAAACAUUACUGCAGUAUUAAUACUCUUCUGCACGAGUUCUGGUAAAAAUGUACAAACUACUCCAGUGUGUAUGCCUAGGAUUAGAGUUCCUGGGUCAUACAGAAACACAGCUAACCAGUGAUGACAAAUUGGUUUUUAAAGGAGCAAGAAAUACAUUUGAUACCUCACAUAUCUACCAUUUAGAUAGUCUUUUUAUAUCAUUGUUAAUUAAUGCCAGAGAUCAAACUCACGACCUCGCACUUGCCAAUCAGGCAUUUGUGCUGUUGAGCUAAAAACCUCAAGCCCCCUUUUAUAUCAUUUAUUAAAAGGUUCUUAACCUACUGAUCUGUAAUGUCACCUCCAUCGUAAAUCCAAUUUGCUUGUACAUGUGAUCUGUUUCUGACUUUCCUGGUGUGAUCUAUUUUCAUCUAUCUUUAUACAAGUGCAGAGCUGGCUUAUGAAUGGCUUGAUUUCUGUUAGAACAAGACUCUAACUUUAUUUUAAGAGUAUUCUGGUUAUUGUUGAUCUUUGUUCUGUAGAAAUUUUAGAACCACUUAGCUUGUUGGUUAAGCUGUAAGCUGGGAUUUAAUUGAAUCUACGAAUCAGUUAAAAGAGAAUGAACACUAUUGAGCCCACCAAUAUUAAACAUAGCGUAUCUCCCCUGCCUUACAGAAAUCUUAAUAAAGUGUUAGUUUUCUUCAGAUAGUCAUUAUACAUUUUUGGUUAGAUUUAUUCCCCUGGUUAUGGGAUCUAAUUUUAUACAUUAUUGUAAUUGUAAUCUUUUUCUAAAUUAAACUUUAUAUUUUAUCUUAGCUGUGGCUUUGAUAGUGGGUAUAAAAGAAACUGACUUGAAUAACUUGGUUUUGAUUCUGUCAGAAAUUCAAGAACUUUAUAAAAUGUUCUGAUUUUUUCUCUUGUACUUGAAUAAUAACUAUUUUGUUUCUUUUUUGCAGUCUUUGCCACUUUGAACUCUUUUUAACUUUGAACUGCCUAGAACCUUCAACAUAAAGUUGUGCAGAAAUGUUUUGUUCCUGAUUGUAAAGGUGAAUAUUUUUAAUAGGUAAUCUAGGAGUGCUCCCGUUUUUCUGAAAACUGACAGGGGUUGCAGACACUGCCUUUUCCAACUCAGCAAGAUUAGUAAAAAUGAAAACCCAUGACCACACAAAGACUUCAACAUAAAUAUUCAUGGCAGCAUCAUUCAUGAAGCUGAGAAGUAAAAACAGCCUACAUGUUCACUAACAGCACUUCUUUGAACUUGCAUAAUGCUCUACAAUUUGUCUGGAUGUGGAAGUUCUUUCAUUUAUCAGCUUUGGGUUUAGAAAUCUUAAAUACAAAGAUCCAUCAAUCUGGAAAAUCUUCAGCUUUCAUCUCUAGGAUUAUUGCUUUUAUUCAGUUCUAUCCGGAAACUCUGACUAGCCAUCGAAGUGUGAGACCGAGUUCAUCAGGACCGGGCAGGGACCUUCAGAGAAAAUGCCAACCUCAGUACCACCGUCUUCCCUGGACUUCUGCCUCUACUGCAUGACUGAUCUUAACACAAGCGUGCGUACUCAAACAUUGGGAGAGUUUUAAAUUACUUUGCUUUUAACACUGCAACUGUACAUAGAGUUUACUAUUGUGCCAAAUGAUGGAAGUUCCAUUUUAUAAUAUUAUCAUUUGUUAAUUUUCAACAAGUAAACUAGAAAGACCAUAAAAGGGUGAUAUUUCAUAAAGUUUUAAACUGUGUCACCUGUCCAAUGUCACUGGCUUUGAUCCCUUAAGUAGAAUCUCCAGCACUCCAAUUUCAGUCAAUGACCAUGCACUCAUUACUCUGUCCGUUUCCUUGGUUUUCACGCUUGAAUCUAGAACAUGCUCAGAACCUAACUUUUGUCUUUAUUCCUCAUUUGAAACCUCAAAUUACCUACACUUGAACACCAGUUAACUUCCUGAGUUUUUGUAUUUGAUACUAGAACUUGCCUUUGCUCACAUCUUUGAGCUUUUUGCCUUUUCUUAUCAUAGCGAGCAUGCCACCUAACCAGAUUCUACAUUAAGCAUCAUACUAUUUUUUGUUACUUGGUGUCCUGAAAAAGCCUGUCCCCAUUCAAAAAAUGGAGAGAGCAGAAAACUAGAUAGAAUCAGUUCUACAUGUGACCAUUUUUCUGUCUGUGAUCAAAUUUGGUGUUCAAAACGCAAUAUUCUCUAAGAAUAUCUGUAACUUACUAUUAACAAUAUUGCUAUUAAUGUUAAGGCAUCUCUUAUUCCAUAUCGGGUAUUGACUUAUUGAUAUCAUAUUCAGUAAAUGUUCUCUAUUGCUCAUCUUACAUGAUUCCUUCAUAGUUUUUUAUUUGUAUAGAUCUUUCAGCCUUUAGAACUGCAGCAUGUGUCAGUGCUCCAAACAGGGUACACAAGGUUUCCUUGUGUCAAGAAAACAUCCCUUUGAAUGUGUAUUUUCGUCUCCAAAUAAAAUACUAUGGACAGAAGAAUGUAGUGCUCUUGUUAGCUGGGUGUUUUCCAUGUGAAAACCGCUAAACCCAGAAAAGGCUUAUAUUUCAUUGCAAGUUUAAAAACUUGAAUAGAGGAAGUUGUGGUAUUCAUCAGAAUAUGAAACAAUAGGUACAGAAAAAUAAAAACACAUUUUCAGCUAUUUUUCACUGCCUCUGGCUAAAGACUGGUUACAAGAGAAUGUUGUAGAAAAUUCCACCCUAAAACUCCUCACCUGUUAAACUUCUUUCCUUUUUUAUUUUAUGGAAAAAAGCUAAAAUGCAAUUUCAUAACAAGAUGCUAGAAGAAUAACAAUAGGUAAUACUUUGCAUAUUAUCUUUGAAGUAGCUGCUCAGGGUAUAAAAUAUGGGCAUAAAAUAUUCUUCAAUCGAUAUUAGUACAAACCUUCGUUUUCUGUGAACAGACAAAAUAGUAUAACUAGCUUGCAUUCUUUUCUUUCUUCCUUUCCCUUUAAAGUUUAUUUUCGUAUACCUUUAAAGAACUGAUAUGAUCAAAUGUCCUGCCCUCUUUCGUGGGAUAGACAGCGUACUCCUGCACAUUUGAAGGGUAGCCACGUCUCCUGUUCCCUAAACACCUAGCAUAAGCCCCGUCUUUCCCAAGCACAGUUUCUGUCCUUGAGCUCUGCCAUUCUCUAGCUUCCUACCUGGUACAGGAGGCGAAACGAUGGUGAAUAAUGAGAGAUUGGGUGAAUCAGCGGUUAGUCCGCGCUCGCCUUGAGUCAGUUUGCCAGUCUUACCGCAUGGGGGCGAUAGGAAGCAAGGAAGGGGAGAACUGCGUUCCUGACUCACACCGCGCCCCAGAACUUGACAAGACAGGCGACUUCCCCUGAAAUUAAAGAAAGGGAAAGACAGGAAAGGAGAGCGAAAGAAGAGAAGGGCAUACAGACUUUAUUUUUAUUUCAGAAGGUAUCUCUCUAGUCCUUUUUCUAAGUAUAAGGAAUACUGUAAUGCAUAGUAUUUAUUUUUAUUAAUAGUGUGUUUCCUAUGUCCUUAAAUAUUUAGCAGCAUAACAUUUUUAAAUCACUGGAUAAAUCUCCAAAAGAUAUAGAAUAAUACAACCAAUCAAUACAAUGUAUUUGGACAGUUCAAGUAUUGACAGAUUUUCUAUAUAAAUAAUGCUGUACUUAAUUUAUAAGGGUUUUAAAAAACUAAAUAUCAUGCUUUUUCUUAUGAAUAAAUUAUAGCUAGAAAUGGUGUGCUAAUGUGACUGUAGAUGUUUUAAAAAGAGAAAUCUUGCUAAAUUCGCCAAGAAUUGUGUACCAGUUUAUACUCCAUGUGUUACACUUGAACAUAUUUGUUGCUCAUUUCUCUAUCAUUCCAACAGUUCAUUUUUUAGUUUUCACUAGUCUAUUUGUUUCUUAAAUUAUAAUGAGAUUCAAUAUUUUAUUCACAUAAUUCCUUGUUUUUAUUCCUUUUUAAAUUUUCCAUUAGUAUGCUUGAUCCAAACACUUUAUCUGAAUUGUUUGGCUCCAGGUUGGAUAUGGAGUGCCCCAUCACUCCCAGGAUGAGAAAGCAUUAGCAAAAGAAUUCUGUGUUUUUUAGGAAGCACUUCCACUUCGUAUGAUGCAUUUUAUAUAAACUUUUUCUUCCCCCAUCUCAAAAUCUUCCUGGUUUUAUCAUGAUCUUCCCUUCACACAGCUGCCCUGUAAAGCUUGUGGAAACAUCUGUGUCAGAAGCAUUGAGAGUCCUCACAGCAGCAGGAAACUGAGCCCUGUAUGCUGCCACCAGCUGGCAAAAGUGUCCUUUUCUUGCUCUGCUUCAUUCCCCGAUGGUGAAGUGCAGUCUUUCAUUCACUUUUUGUGUAACCCAUCCUGAUGAAUUAACCACUUGAUAUUACAGUGGCACUUAGGACUUGGGGAGGGCUGAGAAGAGGAAUGAAAUAAAAUAAUUAGCAGAAAUAAAAGAGUGGGGGGGCAGGAAACCUUAUGCUUAGAAGAAAAAUUUAACUGGACAGUCUUGAAAUAGACUUCAUUACUUUGGAAUUAAAUCCAGGUGUUCUAUUUAGUGUGGUUGGCAGCAGGAGUGGAUUAUGUUUUAACAUUAUUUUCUAUGGCAAAGUUAUUUUUAGGAAUAAUCACGAAAUGAAAUAAAUAAUAAUAAUGGCUAAGAAAAAUUUAUAAACAGUGCACAUUUCUUUUGUUGGUCCCAAUAUCAUGUGGGUAAAAUAAAUAAAUGAAAAGAUAAAUGAAAAUAAAGAUUCCAUUUCAAAAAUGGGAAAGACUGAAAUUUUUUUCAUUGAAAUUUCUAUACAAAAUUACACUACUGAAAAAGUUUUUAAAGAUUGAAAAGUAAAAUGAAUAGUAUGAUACAAAAUAAUAUCUGAAUUGUUUUGCUCCAGAUUAUCGGAUAUGUAACACCCCGUCACCAUAGUGUUAUGGUUUGUGUCUAGAUGUUCCCCCAAAGCCUCAUGAGGUUUUAGGCUUGUUGGGAAGCAUCUGAACCUAGAGUGUGUGAUGCUGGGACUAGGGGUAUGUGAUUGCUAAAUCAGUUCUCUGAUUAGGUUGGCAUCAUGCUAAUCUCAGCAAUCUAUAUAUAAUGCAUUAAAGCCAGAAAGAGAUUUGUCUGCCAUUCCUUGUUGCUUUGCUACUUUCUUCCUGCCAUGAAUUGUUCUCUGCCAAGCCUGCCUUGGAGCCAGCCUAUUAUGGACUGAAACUUCCACACACUAUGAGCCAAGAAAAUCUUUCUCCCUUUAACUUUGGGUAUUGGGUAUUUUGUCUCAGCAGUGAGAGAAUAAAGACUAGUACACGUAGUAAUAAAUUACUACUUAUUAACAUUCAUUAAGGUAUUUUAAAAAUAGUAAAAUUUACUUCAAAUGUCCUAUCAUAGAAAUGCAGUCUGUUCUGUCUCCAUCGGUCUUAACAGGUUGUAUCUUAUUGGAUUUUAUUAUAUGUGAUAAUAUAAGCAAAAACUUUUAUAGACAAGGAGAUUAUACAGAAACUAUUGUUCAUUUUCUGAUAGUUGGUUCUACAUACCCUGUAAUACUGUCAUUCUCUUGAAUGCUUUUACAUUGUCUUGAUAUGUUUGGUGCUACAGUAUACGAAGUUAUACUCAAAGAUUUCAAGGAAAGAGACACUAUGGUAACUACUUUUAUGUCAGGAUAUCUUGUGGUGAAACACUAUUUUGCUUAAAUGGUUAUGUUUUGACCUGAGCUGUUUUGUUGUUAUACCCUCUUUUAUCUCAAUCUCCUUUUUUUAAUUAUUUACUUUUUUAUUUUUAUCUUUUUAAUUAAGGGAAAAAUAAAUAAAAAAUAGCAGGAUAUAUUAUAGUAACCCACUUUGAUUUUCUAUUAACUUGAUUUGAAACCCUGUAUUGCCCUCACCAUCUUGUUUUGACUGAUUUUCCCCUAUUCUGCUUUGGUUGAUAGUACCAAGUUCAGAAGUUAGGCAACAACUUGAAGACAAUAAGAUUCAUUAUGACGCCCAUUCUGGUUGGCUAUUAUCUUCUUUUAAAGUCCUGUAAUGUCUCCAAUGUUUUGGUUUUAUUCUUUACUGUUUUGUUCAAUUUUAUUGUAACUGAUGAUAUAGGCAAUUCUUUUUAAGAUAGCAAGAGGCAGUAUAGUAACCAUUGUUGAUCACCUUGUAUUUUGUUUUUACAUUAUUUAUUAUGUCCAUCUUUUUGAUUGGACUGACUCUGUUCUGUUAUGUCACAUUUGGUUUUACUUUCUUCAAAAAAAGUAAUAAGAACUGUGGGAGUAAUAAAAUACAAAAUGUGUAAUUGUCAUUGUACAAAAGAGAGGAAAAGAAAGUGCUCUAAAGGAUUUAACUAUAUUUAAGUGUAUAAGAUAGAUAACCAUAUUACUGAGUUUUGUUGGAUCAUUGAACAGAACUGUUUGCAGUCUCACUGUUUGAAAGUCCACUUUAUAUGCUUUAAUUUUGUAACUUGAACAACUAUUUCUAAGAUGACAGUAUGUAAUCUAUUAACUAGUGAUUUCCUAGUGUUUAUUUUUUCUGAAAUUCUGUAUAACUUAUACCCUUUUUCUGUUUUUUUUCUUUUUCUCCUUAAAUAAAAUAAAAAAAAAAAAAAAGAAAUGCACUCUGUGUCUUAUUCAGCCAUAAUUUCCAGAGUUGUCCAUGACUCACAGUUGACUCUCUUCACA